rnacentral:tRNA from 1 species
UGUGGUAUAGCUCAAUGACAGAGUGCAUGCUUAUCAUGCAUUUGGCCCUUGGUUGAAUUCCUAGCCACAA